CCUACGGGAGGCAGCAGUGGGGAAUAUUGGACAAUGGGGGGAACCCUGAUCCAGCCAUGCCGCGUGUGUGAAGAAGGCCCUCGGGUUGUAAAGCACUUUCAGUGAGGAAGAACGCCUGGUGGUUAAUACCCAUCAGGAAAGACAACACUCACAGAAGAAGCACCGGCUAACUCCGUGCCAGCAGCCGCGGUAAUACGGAGGGUGCGAGCGUUAAUCGGAAUUACUGGGCGUAAAGCGCGCGUAGGUGGCUUGAUAAGCCGGUUGUGAAAGCCCCGGGCUCAACCUGGGAACGGCAUCCGGAACUGUCAAGCUAGAGUGCAGGAGAGGAAGGUAGAAUUCCCGGUGUAGCGGUGAAAUGCGUAGAGAUCGGGAGGAAUACCAGUGGCGAAGGCGGCCUUCUGGACUGACACUGACACUGAGGUGCGAAAGCGUGGGUAGCAAACAGGAUUAGAUACCCUAGUAGUC
rnacentral:rRNA from 1 species